rnacentral:rRNA from 1 species
GAUGAACGCUGGCGGCGUGCCUAAUACAUGCAAGUCGAGCGAACAGACGAGGAGCUUGCUCCUUUGACGUUAGCGGCGGACGGGUGAGUAACACGUGGAUAACCUACCUAUAAGACUGGGAUAACUUCGGGAAACCGGAGCUAAUACCGGAUAAUAUAUUGAACCGCAUGGUUCAAUAGUGAAAGAUGGCUUUGCUGUCACUUAUAGAUGGAUCCGCGCCGUAUUAGCUAGUUGGUAAGGUAACGGCUUACCAAGGCAACGAUGCGUAGCCGACCUGAGAGGGUGAUCGGCCACACUGGAACUGAGACACGGUCCAGACUCCUACGGGAGGCAGCAGUAGGGAAUCUUCCGCAAUGGGCGAAAGCCUGACGGAGCAACGCCGCGUGAGUGAUGAAGGUCUUCGGAUCGUAAAACUCUGUUAUUAGGGAAGAACAAAUGUGUAAGUAACUGUGCACGUCUUGACGGUACCUAAUCAGAAAGCCACGGCUAACUACGUG